GGACGACGCUGGCGGCGUGCCUAACACAUGCAAGUCGAACGGGGUUGUUCCUUCGGGGACAACUUAGUGGCGAACGGGUGAGUAACGCGUGAGGAACCUGCCUUUCAGUGGGGGACAACAGUUGGAAACGACUGCUAAUACCGCAUAAUGUUGUCGGAUCGCAUGGUCUGACUACCAAAGCUUUAUGUGCUGAAAGAUGGCCUCGCGUCUGAUUAGCUAGUUGGUGGGGUAACGGCUCACCAAGGCGACGAUCAGUAGCCGACCUGAGAGGGUGAUCGGCCACAUUGGAACUGAGACACGGUCCAAACUCCUACGGGAGGCAGCAGUGGGGAAUAUUGCACAAUGGGCGAAAGCCUGAUGCAGCAACGCCGCGUGAGCGAAGAAGGCCUUCGGGUUGUAAAGCUCUGUCCUUAGGGAAGAUAAUGACGGUACCUGAGGAGGAAGCCCCGGCUAACUACGUG
rnacentral:rRNA from 1 species